AUUGAACGCUGGCGGCAGGCCUAACACAUGCAAGUCGAGCGGAGCGGCGGACGGGUGAGUAAUGCCUAGGAAUCUGCCUGGUAGUGGGGGACACCAGUUGGAAACGCCUGCUAAUACCGCAUACUCUCAGAUGAGCCUAGGUCGGAUUAGCUAGUUGGUGGGGUAAAGGCCUACCACGGCGACGAUCCGUAACUGGUCUGAGAGGAUGAUCAGUCACACGGGAACUGAGAAACGGUCCAGACUCCUACGGGAGGCAGCAGUGGGGAAUAGUGAGCAAUGGGAGAAAGCCGGAGACAGGCAUGCCGCGUGUGUGAAGAAGGUCUUCGGAUUGUAAAGCACUUGAAGUUGGGAGGCGUUACCAACAGAAUAAGCACCGGCUAACGGCGUGCCAGCAGCCGCGGUAAUAC
rnacentral:rRNA from 1 species